rnacentral:rRNA from 1 species
AUUCUGGCUCAGGAUGAACGCUGGCGGCGUGCUUAACACAUGCAAGUCGAACGGGAUCCAUCAGGCUUUGCUUGGUGGUGAGAGUGGCGAACGGGUGAGUAAUGCGUGACCGACCUGCCCCAUACACCGGAAUAGCUCCUGGAAACGGGUGGUAAUGCCGGAUGCUCCGACUCCUCGCAUGGGGUGUCGGGAAAGAUUUCAUCGGUAUGGGAUGGGGUCGCGUCCUAUCAGGUAGUCGGCGGGGUAACGGCCCACCGAGCCUACGACGGGUAGCCGGCCUGAGAGGGCGACCGGCCACAUUGGGACUGAGAUACGGCCCAGACUCCUACGGGAGGCAGCAGUGGGGAAUAUUGCACAAUGGGCGCAAGCCUGAUGCAGCGACGCCGCGUGCGGGAUGACGGCCUUCGGGUUGUAAACCGCUUUUGAUCGGGAGCAAGCCUUCGGGUGAGUGUACCUUUCGAAUAAGCACCGGCUAACUACGUGCCAGCAGCCGCGGUAAUACGUAGGGUGCAAGCGUUAUCCGGAAUUAUUGGGCGUAAAGGGCUCGUAGGCGGUUCGUCGCGUCCGGUGUGAAAGUCCAUCGCUUAACGGUGGAUCUGCGCCGGGUACGGGCGGGCUGGAGUGCGGUAGGGGAGACUGGAAUUCCCGGUGUAACGGUGGAAUGUGUAGAUAUCGGGAAGAACACCAAUGGCGAAGGCAGGUCUCUGGGCCGUUACUGACGCUGAGGAGCGAAAGCGUGGGGAGCGAACAGGAUUAGAUACCCUGGUAGUCCACGCCGUAAACGGUGGAUGCUGGAUGUGGGGCCCGUUCCACGGGUUCCGUGUCGGAGCUAACGCGUUAAGCAUCCCGCCUGGGGAGUACGGCCGCAAGGCUAAAACUCAAAGAAAUUGACGGGGGCCCGCACAAGCGGCGGAGCAUGCGGAUUAAUUCGAUGCAACGCGAAGAACCUUACCUGGGCUUGACAUGUUCCCGACAGCCGUAGAGAUAUGGCCUCCCUUCGGGGCGGGUUCACAGGUGGUGCAUGGUCGUCGUCAGCUCGUGUCGUGAGAUGUUGGGUUAAGUCCCGCAACGAGCGCAACCCUCGCCCUGUGUUGCCAGCACGUCGUGGUGGGAACUCACGGGGGACCGCCGGGGUCAACUCGGAGGAAGGUGGGGAUGACGUCAGAUCAUCAUGCCCCUUACGUCCAGGGCUUCACGCAUGCUACAAUGGCCGGUACAACGGGAUGCGAC